UGGCUCAGAUUGAACGCUGGCGGCAGGCCUAACACAUGCAAGUCGAACGGUAACAGGAAGCAGCUUGCUGCUUUGCUGACGAGUGGCGGACGGGUGAGUAAUGUCUGGGAAACUGCCUGAUGGAGGGGGAUAACUACUGGGAACGGUGGCUAAUACCGCAUAACGUCGCAAGACCAAAGAGGGGGACCUUCGGGCCUCUUGCCAUCAGAUGUGCCCAGAUGGGAUUAGCUUGUUGGUGAGGUAACGGCUCACCAAGGCGACGAUCCCUAGCUGGUCUGAGAGGAUGACCAGCCACACUGGAACUGAGACACGGUCCAGACUCCUACGGGAGGCAGCAGUGGGGAAUAUUGCACAAUGGGCGCAAGCCUGAUGCAGCCAUGCCGCGUGUAUGAAGAAGGCCUUCGGGUUGUAAAGUACUUUCAGCGGGGAGGAAGGUGUUGCGGUUAAUAACCGCAGCAAUUGACGUUACCCGCAGAAGAAGCACCGGCUAACUCCGUGCCAGCAGCCGCGGUAAUACGGAGGGUGCAAGCGUUAAUCGGAAUUACUGGGCGUAAAGCGCACGCAGGCGGUCUGUCAAGUCGGAUGUGAAAUCCCCGGGCUCAACCUGGGAACUGCAUUCGAAACUGGCAGGCUUGAGUCUUGUAGAGGGGGGUAGAAUUCCAGGUGUAGCGGUGAAAUGCGUAGAGAUCUGGAGGAAUACCGGUGGCGAAGGCGGCCCCCUGGACAAAGACUGACGCUCAGGUGCGAAAGCGUGGGGAGCAAACAGGAUUAGAUACCCUGGUAGUCCACGCCGUAAACGAUGUCUACUUGGAGGUUGUGCCCUUGAGGCGUGGCUUCCGGAGCUAACGCGUUAAGUAGACCGCCUGGGGAGUACGGCCGCAAGGUUAAAACUCAAAUGAAUUGACGGGGGCCCGCACAAGCGGUGGAGCAUGUGGUUUAAUUCGAUGCAACGCGAAGAACCUUACCUGGUCUUGACAUCCACAGAAGAAUCCAGAGAUGGAUUUGUGCCUUCGGGAACUGUGAGACAGGUGCUGCAUGGCUGUCGUCAGCUCGUGUUGUGAAAUGUUGGGUUAAGUCCCGCAACGAGCGCAACCCUUAUCCUUUGUUGCCAGCGAUUAGGUCGGGAACUCAAAGGAGACUGCCAGUGAUAAACUGGAGGAAGGUGGGGAUGACGUCAAGUCAUCAUGGCCCUUACGACCAGGGCUACACACGUGCUACAAUGGCGCAUACAAAGAGAAGCGACCUCGCGAGAGCAAGCGGACCUCAUAAAGUGCGUCGUAGUCCGGAUUGGAGUCUGCAACUCGACUCCAUGAAGUCGGAAUCGCUAGUAAUCGUGGAUCAGAAUGCCACGGUGAAUACGUUCCCGGGCCUUGUACACACCGCCCGUCACACCAUGGGAGUGGGUUGCAAAAGAAGUAGGUAGCUUAACCUUCGGGAGGGCGCUUACCACUUUGUGAUUCAUGACUGGGGUGAAGUCGGAACAAGG
rnacentral:rRNA from 1 species